rnacentral:lncRNA from 1 species
CUCGUACAGUGAAAUACCAGCCAUGGAAUAAAACACUUCUCUGCUUUUGCCCACUGGUCACUCGGGUUGAGCUGGUGCACCUCCAGGGUGAGCAGGCAGCUCAGCAGCACAACAGCUCAGGGAGCUGAACUUCUUCAUCUCACUAUUUUUGGCAAACCAUUUCUUUCCCUGCAGACGCAUUUUGUUCAAACACUUUUUGCAUGCACUCAGCUGCGGUUCUACAAGCACCAGACAACAGGCUGUGAAGGCAGGAUUGGGGUUUCCGAUGCUGGAGGUGUCUGCACAGCGCUCAGGCACACAGCUGUGCUCCCUCACACACUGCCACCCCACCCCAAAACGAGUCCCUCGGGUGAAGUCAGCACAUCUCUCUCCUGGGAGAAAGCCAACCUUCUUGCCAAACAAGUGAGAAAUCCCCACAGCUCUCUGGAACCUGCAGGGCAGGAGGAGCUGCUGCCGCCUGCGGUGUAGUGGGGGAACUGGGGCAGUUCGGCAUGGACAGGAUCCAGUCACCAGGAGGCUGCAGCUCAUCACUUUUUGGGCCCGUAUUAACCACACGCAGAGCAAAAUGGGCACAUUUCUCAUCCACAGCUUCACUCAUCCCUGUUUCCCAGGCGGUUGCUCUCCACGGAGGCCACCUUACUGCAUUCAUUUGGGAGAUGAAGGAAUCCAGCCAUCGAUCCCUUUCACCAAGACUGUUCCAACUGACGUUACAAUUUCUGGAUUUCUUCCCUCCUUUUCCAAGUUCCACACUGCUCAGCUCUGUGGCCAAAGCAGCUCCAGAAGUCCCUGGAUGAAACAGGAGAGGUUCUCCUGGCUCAGCGCCCUGCUGGAGGCUCAGUGAACCCUGCUUGGCUCUCGGGUGGGUGAUGGAUGCCCAAGAAGGGUCAAAGGGGUUUGGUUACAACGGCGUAACGCACGUCUCCAGGAAGUGCAUUAGUUUGGUCUAAAAGGCUGAGAUCAGCGGAGCGAGGCAGGGCUUUCCUCAAACACGCCUGAUCCACGCAAAUGAAGAAAGCUGGCAGCUAUUUUGGCUCGGGAAGCCUGACCACUGAAAGGCGACAGCCCUUGGCCACGUUCCCACCAUGAGGACAGAGAAGAGAAGAACGACACCUCACCUGUGGCUUGGGGAAGAGGCUUUCUACAAGGCUCCUGUUGAUUAAUUGGUGCUGGGCUCCUGCCAAACAAGGGAAGUUUCACAUGUAAAGAGGAAAUGUGCAUCUCUCUGCCUGCCCAUGCCUUCUCCAGCCUGUCCUACAAGCACACAUCCUGCUGCCAGCAUCCCCCUAUCACACAGACCAACACCAAGGCUCCCAUGGCCAAGGCUUCCCACCCGAGCCCUGCACUGCUCUUUGCCACGCAGCAAAAGCCGCCUGCAACAGCCGAGCGCAGGGAAAUGACUCCCGCUCCUGCCUCCACUCCUCUGCUUGUUUUUACUGGAUAAAUCAACAGAGCACAGAUCUUCAUUGCCCUAUUUUUCACAGUCCCUUUUAAAUUUACUCUGUUAUUCGUAGGGACUCGGGAUACUUGCAGUUUAAUAAUAUUAAAAAGCAGGGAUUUCUUUUUGCCUGCCCUUGGCUUAUCCUUCAUACGACGCCAAGUACUGCGGUACACUACAGUAGCACUUGCUGCUGCUACAGCGGUAGCUAUAAAAUAUUAUAGAGCUUGGUUUCAUUUUAUCUUCCCAACACAGAGCACAGCCAGCACCGCCAACGCUGUGCAGCC